rnacentral:rRNA from 1 species
UACGUAGGGUGCGAGCGUUGUCCGGAAUUACUGGGCGUAAAGAGCUCGUAGGUGGUUUGUCGCGUUGUUCGUGAAAACCGGGGGCUUAACCCUCGGCGUGCGGGCGAUACGGGCAGACUUGAGUACUGCAGGGGAGACUGGAAUUCCUGGUGUAGCGGUGGAAUGCGCAGAUAUCAGGAGGAACACCGGUGGCGAAGGCGGGUCUCUGGGCAGUAACUGACGCUGAGGAGCGAAAGCGUGGGGAGCGAACAGGA